CUCUGCAGAUGAGUACUUGACAAUCUUUCACCCAGUCUCCAGCAAUGCAAGAGUGCUGUUCCCUUCCCAUCUGAAGAGGUUUGAAGUGAAAAUGUUUUCCUUCACAAGCGGCCGGGAUGCACUGAAAGGACAGAUUUACUUCCACUGCAGUGUUGUGAUAUGUGAUUCAAACCGGCCAUCAGACAGCCUCUGUAGCAGACGGUGCAUUCCAGGGAAACAGAGGCUUGGUCGCAGUGCUGAAGGGAUGGAUGGUGGUGCAGUAAAGGCAAUUUGUGUCUUCUGGCCCAAUUGAGCUGAAGAGAGAUGGAUCCCUUCACUUUAUGCCUAGAAGCGGCCAAUUCAAUGUGUGGUCCCUUCUGGGAGCUGCAAUGGGUGUGUUCAGUGGUUGUCUUUGAAGCUGGAGUUGUGUAUUUUUGGAAAAUGCCAAAAAAUAUUCGGGUUGGAUACCUCGGAAGCCAGCGGAACUCCAGCGUUUCUCCGACAACCACUGAUAACCCCUCCCGUGAUGAUCGGCGCUGCCAUGACAACCCAUGA